UAUAUAUCAGUAUAUAGGAGGCACAAAAAAUUUUGAUUUUUUAAGAAAUGGUUGAAAUCCGUUAUAUAUAA
rnacentral:tRNA from 1 species